AGAGUCUCCUUUUCCCAUCGAUAGAAAGACUUGUGUCAACGAUAGGGGAAUGGCCGGUUUAUCGAUUACGAGUUUCAAAGUCCGUCUCGUGUAUGAACCUUUGUGUUUAGAGGCAAAAUGAAUUUUGCGAAAUCUUGGAGCGAAUUUAAAGAAAUACUUCGCAGACACGAAGUAGAAACUGUAACAAAAUAUGUUUACUACUAUGGAAAGUCAUUCGAUAAAGAGACACCAAUGGACUAGCAGAUAAGAUAGCUGAAUACUGGAUGUUUGAUCAAGGUACAAAUACUGUUGAAUGGAUUAGCUGCAUGGGAAUUUUCCUGUUCUCCUUAUAUAUAAGUGAAUACAAGACAGUUUCCCAUUAGACCUUCUCAAAGGCAUCCUUUUUGCUUGAACUAACUCCAGAUUUACGAUUAAACUGGUUAGAUGAUAUUCCCUAUUUCCACUUUGGGCGAAAAACCUAUGUUUGCCAUCAAGGAAAAGAUCUGAAUAAACGUCAAAAGGAAAAUUAUGCUAAAGAAAAAAAUGAAAAGUGUCAAACUGAUCAUGCUUUUGGUAAAGCAUAUUCCAAGAACCAGACAACUAAAAAAGUUAAUUGUCCAGCUGUAAUUAAUGUUACCCGAAUGUACAGGAUGCCUCAGUUCAAGAUGCCCUAGAGGAGUUGCAUGGUAUCUAAAAUUUCUGUGAAACACAGUUUGAAAACCUUCAGACUACUCGAAAACUUCAGAUUAUGUGAAAAAAGAAAUGUAGAUGUAAAGAGCAGUGAUUAAAAAGUUUUAAUGACCAAAAUAUUUUCAUUCCAUCAGAUUAUUUGUGUAUUUUGAAGAAGACACAAUCAGAUAAUAAGAUCACAAAUAGAGGAUAAGUUUUUUUUUUUUCUUUUUUUUGGGGGGGGGAAUUAUUGCAUAUACCAUACAUUUUAACAUAUAGAAUAUUCUUGGAUUGUCUACUGAAAAAAGUACAUAAUAUAUGUAAAUUUUAAUAUAUAAGAAGUAAUGCAAAUAUUUCAAUAAAUGAAUGGAUAAAAAAAUGGCCUUCUUAAACAACCUCAUGUUUAAAUUACUUAGAGGAAUUUAUGCGAACAUGUUUCUGUUGGCAUUAAUUAAACAUUAACAAAUGUAGAUGAACACAAAUUGCAUAAUGUAUUUUAAUUGAAUAUAUGUUUUGGAAUGAAAAAUGUAAACAGCCUUAAUAUACUUAAUAACUCGGAUUUGUAAUGCAUAUAUUUUUAUUUCCAAUGGCAGACAAAAGUAUUUAUACAGACACACUAUCAAAUAAACACACACAAACAAAUAUAUCACACACUAAAUAAACAGAGAAUAAGGAAGCCUAUUUACUACUGCUUGAACAUACUCUAGGCUUCCAGUAACAGCCACAGAGAUCCUGUACAAAGAGAGCCAUGCAUUUUGCAGAUGGUGGAGGUUCGUAUCUUGGGCUUUUAUCACAAAGGACGAAUACAGAAUUUUUUAAUCAAAAAGUUUUGCUGAAUAAUGACGAGUUAAAAUACAAGUUAUUAUGAUGGAAUUAGCCUUUGGGUAUCGGAAAUGAAUAUGUAGUUGAAGAACGAAGGUUUGCUUUAAAUUACAGAUUUCUAAUACAUUAAUUUAAUUAUGUGUUUUAAAAAUAUCAUUUUAAUAUAAUAUUUUUCUAAUACAUUUAUUUUAUUAUCCAAAAUUAUUUUCUAAUUAACAGAAAGAUACAGCAUAACUUUCAGUGAUCCAUUGUCAAAAAAAGGCUUCUUCUGGACAGCUUAAUAAUAGUACAAGGAAAUAAGCUUAUUUUAUGCAUGCCUUGUGGCAUGAGAUAAUGAAUUUCUGAAGUAUUUUAAAAACUGUAAAAAUAUGUACAUAUACCAUAGAAAUGAUUUUUAA
rnacentral:misc_RNA from 1 species